UGACUGGAGGUCAGACUUGUGCUCUUCCGAUACAGCUUUUUAGUAUAAGGAUGCAACUUUACUUAGAGAGUAAAGUUAAAUAAAACCACAGGAGGCCUAAGAGCAGCCACCAAUUAAGAAAGCGUUCAAGCUCAACAACCCAACCCUCUUAAUUCCAAAAAUCUUAAACCAACUCCUAACGUUCUACUGCUAAUCUAUUUAAUAAUAGAAGCAAUAAUGCUAGUAUGAGUAACAAGAAACAUUUCUCCUUGCAUAAACAUAUAACAGUCAACAAAUAUCCACUAAUAGUU